CUGCAUGGCUGUCGUUCAGCUCGUGUCGUGAGAUGUUGGUUAAGUCCCGCAACGAGCGCAACCCUUAUCAUUAGUUGCUACGCAAGGGCACUCUAAUGAGACUGCCGGUGACAAACCGGAGGAAGGUGGGGAUGACGUCAAGUCCUCAUGGCCCUUAUGGGUAGGGCUUCACACGUCAUACAAUGGUCGGUACAGAGGGUUGCCAAGCCGCGAGGUGGAGCCAAUCCCAGAAAGCCGAUCGUAGUCCGGAUUGUUCUCUGCAACUCGAGAGCAUGAAGUCGGAAUCGCUAGUAAUCGCGGAUCAGCAUGUCGCGGUGAAUACGUUCCCGGGUCUU
rnacentral:rRNA from 1 species